rnacentral:rRNA from 1 species
GGAACGGACGCUAAUACCGCAUACGUCCUACGGGAGAAAGCAUCGGUGACCUUCGGGCCUUGCGCUAUCAGAUGAGCCUAGGUCGGAUUAGCUAGUUGGUGAGGUAAUGGCUCACCAAGGCUACGAUCCGUAACUGGUCUGAGAGGAUGAUCAGCCACACCGGGACUGAGACACGGCCCGGACUCCUACGGGAGGCAGCAGUGGGGAAUAUUGGACAAUGGGGGAAACCCUGAUCCAGCCAUGCCGCGUGUGUGAAGAAGGCCUUUUGGUUGUAAAGCACUUUAAGCAGUGAAGAAGACUCCAUGGUUAAUACCCAUGGACGAUGACAUUAGCUGCAGAAUAAGCACCGGCUAACUCUGUGCCAGCAGCCGCGGUAAUACAGAGGGUGCAAGCGUUAAUCGGAAUUACUGGGCGUAAAGGGAGCGUAGGUGGCUCUAUAAGUCAGAUGUGAAAUCCCCGGGCUUAACCUGGGAACUGCAUCUGAAACUGUAGAGCUAGAGUAUGUGAGAGGAAGGUAGAAUUCCAGGUGUAGCGGUGAAAUGCGUAGAGAUCUGGANGNGAAUANNCCGNANUGGCGAAGGCAGCCUUCUGGCAUAAUACUGACACUGAGGCUCGAAAGCGUGGGUAGCAAACAGGAUUAGAUACCCUGGUAGUCCACGCCGUAAACGAUGUCUACCAGUCGUUGGGUCCCUUNGAGGACUUAGUGACGCAGCUAACGCAAUAAGUAGACCGCCUGGGGAGUACGGNCCGCAAGGUUAAAACUCAAAUGAAUUGACGGGGGCCCGCNACAAGCGGUGGAGCAUGUGGUUUAAUUCGAUGCAACGCGAAGAACCUUACCCGGUNNCUUNGACAUNAUNCUNANGAANUCCUGCAGANGAUGCNGGGNAGUGNCCUUCGGGAAUUNAGAANUNACAGGUGCNUNGCNAUNGGNCUGUNCGUCNAGCUNCGUGUCGUGAGANUGUUGGGNNUUAANGUCCCGNCAACGNAGNCGCAACCCUUNGNUCCUUAGUUNACCAGCGGGUUAANGCCGGGAACUCUAAGGAUACUNNGCCAGUNGNACAAACNUGGAGGAAGGCGGGGACGACGUNCNAAGUCNAUCAUGGCCCUUACGACCAGGGCUACACACGUGNCUACAAUGGUAGGUACAGAGGGCAGCUACACAGCGAUGUGAUGCGAAUCUCAAAAAGCCUAUCGUAGUCCAGAUUGGAGUCUGCAACUCGACUCCAUGAAGUAGGAAUCGCUAGUAAUCGCGGAUCAGAAUGCCGCGGUGAAUACGUUCCCGGGCCUUGUACACACCGCCCGUCACACCAUGGGAGUUGAUUGCAC